GUAUUCAUACAAACCAACAUUUCCUGACUGAAUGCAAAUAGGACACUUCUUUGAAAUGAGGAGCGACAAAUUUUUAACCUUUCUAGAAUUCAUGACAGAAUACUGUUUUUUUUUUUUUUUUAACGCUGUCUCCAUUGAAAGUCAGUUACUGAAUGGUAGGACACAAUUCUUAUGAAUUUUGUAGAAAGACAAAUAAUAUUCUCAUCUACAACUGUGUGAAGAAAAAUAGAAAAAUACUUGCCAUGUGUUAAAUCCUUACACUAUGGAGAAUACUAUGCAAACUGCUUUCAACUGCCUGCGUUCAUUUAAGAAUCACAACAACUAUCACCAUGCAAGAAGUGCCUUUCACCUCCUGCCGUGAUUCUGAGGCCUCCCCAGCCAUGUGGAACUAACUAAACAGAAACACUGUAGAAGCAAGAGGUUGAAAAUAUCAUCCAUUUUGAUGCCAACAAUUGACAAUCCUAGAUAGCCAAAGACAGCCUUACUAAGCAAUGUGGCUGCUUUUGGAGUCAAAGGAAGACUCACUUUGCUCAACUGUUGGAUAAAAAGAUAAAGAGAAGAAAAGGAUCUUCAGUGGGUUCAUCAGUAGACAACACAAAGUCCAGUCUGACCAGGUGGGAAGAAACUGAUUUGUCAUCCUUGGGAAUGAGAACAGCAUUAAAAUGGAAAAUAUUAGGUGCUUUUUGCUUAUUCAAGACAACUCAAGAGUCAAAAAUAAAUAGGCCUCUAGGAGUACGCAUUUAAUGGGUUCUUAAAGUGGUCUAAAUAUAUUUCAUUUAAGAAAUCGCUCAUUAAUUUUUAGACUUUUUUAUUGGCAGAAAAAUCUGCUGCCUUAUAUCCAUUUAGAUGGU
rnacentral:lncRNA from 10 species